AUAGAUGAGGCCACCUUGGGUCAGGGAAUUCAGCUCAGCAGUUCUGGUGGUAGCUGACACUUGAGAUUUUUGAAGAAACAGAGGCAGGAUUAGAGGAGGCCUCAUACUAUAAAUCAGAUGUCAAAUGUACCGAGAGAGGCUCUUCGAUUAAAUCCUUGAUGUUGCCAUGUUAUCGGAAAUAAUUUUUUUUUAAAGAUUUUAUUUUUCCUUUUUCUCCCCAAAGCCCCCUGGGUACAUAGUUGCAUACUUUUAGUUGUGGGUCCUUCUAGUUGUGGCAUGUGGGAUGUCACCUCAGCGUGGCUUAAUGAGGGGUGCCAUGUCCACGCCCAGGAUUAGAACCGGCGAAACCCUGGGCCACCGAAGUGGACCAUGUGAACUUAACCACUCGGCCAUGGGGCUGGCCCCAUGGAAAUAGUUUUUUAGAAUAUGGUUAAUCACCACUUAAUUCAUCUAUUUUAAUGUUCGCACUUUCAUUUAUUGGGCUUUAUUAAAGUAGGGUCUACUUUGUCUAUACUCUCAGGGCAUCACUGCCCCAGAUAUUUUCACUUCAUACAGUGUUGGAAACUGCCUACUGGUUUUCCAAAAAGCAAUCCAUGUGCGUGUACACACACGCAUGUUAUCCUAAGUCCUUGUCCCCGUUCUCAGAGUGGCCCCAUCAGAACAGAAUACUGAUGAUAUUAACCCAGGAAUAAACUGGCUAUGGGGGAAAUAGGAACAUAAUUGGCAUUUUCUGGGAAAGUUUCAGAAUUUUAAACAAUGCCUUUUUUAGGCUCAUGAAUCUGAUAGACACACGCCCUGCUGUGACAAAGAGGGAGCGAGAGAGAGACCUGCGUGCAUGGGAGCCAGAGGGGCGGAGAGGAAGGGAGGACGGCUGUUGGCGUGCUCACAGUUUUGGAACAGCUGUAGUGUUUGUUGCCGCAAUCUUCCUGUGACUGUUUCCAGAGCUGUGUGAAGGAGGAGACUGGCAUACUGAGAUUCCUCAUGCUCCGCUAGCUUGUACGACAAGACAAAGUUAAGCAGUGUGGCGACCAAAGCUUCCUUCCUACUGACCUACGUUUUUCAUGCUUGCCCAUUUCUCAGAAUCACAGUCUUCUGGGAUUUCUAAAUUUUCUCUUCCUUUGAGAAGGGAAUGUUCUUGACUGGGGUUACUAGGCAUCCCUCCCUCAAGUCUUC
rnacentral:lncRNA from 1 species